UACGUAGGGUGCGAGCGUUAAUCGGAAUUACUGGGCGUAAAGCGUGCGCAGGCGGCUUGCCAAGUCAGAUGUGAAAGCCCCGGGCUCAACCCGGGAAUGGCGUUUGAAACUGGCAGGCUAGAGUUUGGCAGAGGGGGGUGGAAUUCCACGUGUAGCAGUGAAAUGCGUAGAGAUGUGGAGGAACACCGAUGGCGAAGGCAGCCCCCUGGGCCAAAACUGACGCUGAGGCACGAAAGCGUGGGGAGCAAACAGG
rnacentral:rRNA from 1 species